GAACUGAAGCAGAACUUGAGAGUUUCUGAGUUGAGAAGUUAGAGGUUAGAGUUGGGAAACCAAAUCAGCUAGAGUUCACAAAACAGAAUAGCAGAGGGAUAGAACUACAUAGCAAGAGAACCCCAGGAAUAAUCUCCCUGGAAUACUCAUCAGAGUGCUGAUCUUUUCAUGCAUGUGCAGAAAUUACCUGAGAUGAAGAAAAAGAACCAUCUAAAAGGAUUAAAAGGAAUAGUGCCUGGUGCUUAUAAAGGGCUAAUAAGAGUGCCUCUUCCCACUAAUCAGACUUGUAAAAAUUCAAAAGAAAGCAAAAAGAGGAAAAUGGAAAUAACAAAUAUAAACAAACACCAUAAAUAGAAAACAAACAGUGAAAAGAUAGACUCAAAUCUAACAAUCAGUAAUGAUUUUAAUGUCUAAAAAUCCCGAUUAAAAGGAAGAACUUAGACUAGAUAAAAAAUCAAGACUGAAUUACAUGAUGUCUACAAGAAAUGUACUUUAAAUAUGAAGACAUGAAAGUUUGAAAAAAAUGGAAAAAGUUAUGCAUGCUACUAUUAGCAAAAAAUAUUACUAUUAGGCAAAGUGGAAUUCAGAGCAAAGAUGAUAAACCUGGGAUAAAGACAAUCAGUAAGUAAUAAUAAAAGGGUCAAUUGACCUAAUAAUCCUAAAUAUUUAGGCACCUAAAAAAAGCUUAAAAAUACUUAACUGGAAGUUCCCAUUGUGGCUCAGUUGUGAUGAACCCAGCUGGUAGUAUCCAUGAGCAUGCAGGUUUGAUCCUUGGCCUCGCUUAGUUGGUUAAGGAUCCAGUACUGCUAUGAGAUGCAGUGUAGGUCACAGAGGUGGCUCGGAUCUGGUGUUGCUGUGGCUAUAGUGUAGGCUGGCAGCUGCAGCCCCAAUUUGACCCCUAGCCUGGGAAUUUCCAUGUGGUUCAGGUGUGGCCCUAAAAGCAAGCAAACAAAAAAAAUCCCAAAAAACAAAUUGAUAGAACUUAAAGAAAAAUAGAUAAGUUCAUGACUAUUGUCAGAUUUUAAUUUUAACCUCUCUCUCAAUAAUUGAUAGAAAAAGUAGGCAAGAAAUCAGCAAAUAUAUUGUAGGCUUGAAGAACACCAUCAGCUAAAUUGACCUAAUUGAACUUACCACCCAGCAGCUGCACCAGCAUACAUUCUUUUGAAGUGCAAGCAUAUUUAUCGUUAUAGACCACUUUGUGGGCCAUGGCACAAAUCACAAUACAUUUAUUUAUUUAUUUAUUUGGUAAGAGUACCUAAUAUGAGAUCCCCCUUUUAAGAAAAUUUUAAGUGCACAAUACAGUAAUAUUAACUCUAGGCAGAGUGUUGUAUAGCAGAUUUCUAGAACUUACUCAUCUCUAUUUUCGAUUUGCCCCAGUCCCUGGCUCCCAUUGUUGUAGUCUCUGUCUCUGUUAUUUUUGACUGUUUUAAGGGAAUGAUACAGUAUUUAUCCUUGUCUUACAAACUUUUUACUUAGCAUAAUGUCCUCCAGAUUUAUUCGUGUGUGUUUGUCAGGGUUUCCUAUUUUUUCAAGGCUGAAUAAUACUUCAUUGUAUGUAUGUACCACAUUUACUUUAUCCAUUUACCUGUUGGUAGACAUUUAGGUUGUUUCUGUGUCUUGGCUAUUGUGAAUAAUGAUGUGGUAAACAUGGACUGUAUGUAGCUCCUUGAGAUCCUGAUUGCAGUUCUUUGAAUAUAUCCAGAAUGGGAUUUCUGAGUCAUAUGAUAAUUCUAUUUUUGAAAAACGUCUCAAAUUUUAAAAUGAUAUAAGUCAUAUAAAAUGGGUUUUCUGACCACUUAUACUUAAAGAAAUGAGUUAAUGUUCUACUUCAAAGCAGCUAGAAAAAGCAGUGUUUUCUCACUAGCUUCGUCAUAAACUCCAGGAUUGACUCUCACUGGAUCAGUUGGUCGUAUGCUUAUCUCUAUACCAGUCAAUAUACUGAUUGGCCAAAUCUGUGCCAAAUGCUCACCCCCAACACAAGGACCAAGAAUAGGGAGAAAUGGUUCUUUAAAGGAAUAUCAAAUAAUGUUACCAGAAUAAGGAUUCUGGGACAGGCAGAAUUAAAACCACAAUAUAUCAUUAUAUAUCUACUACCAAAAGAAUAGGGAGAAAUGGUUCUCUAAAGGAAUAUCAAAGUAAUGUUACCAGAAUAAGGAUUCUGGGACAGGCAGAAUUAAAACCACAAUUAGUUAAAACCACAAUAAGAUAUCAUUAUAUAUCUACUACCAAAAGCUACUAGAACUAAUUAGUGAGUUUAACAGGGUUGCAGAAUACAAGUCAACAGUAAAAAAAUCUAUUUCUUUAUACUAGCAACAAACAAUUAGAAAUUGAAGUUAAAAAUAUCAUUUUUAAUAACCAAGAAUAUCAAAUGCCUAGGAAUAACUGACAAAAGAUGUGAGAAACUUGUAUACUGAAAAGCACAAAAUAUGCUGAAAGAAAGAAGACUUGAAAAACAACAGAGAUUUACUUUGUUCAUGGGUUGGAAGAUUCAGUGAUGUUAACUUGUCAAUUCUCUUCAAAAUCUUUAGAUUUAACAAAAUCCCAGUCAGAAUCCUAGCAGCCUUUUUAGUAUACAUUGACAAGCUGACUCCUAAAUUUGCAUGGAAUGCAAAAGGAUCUAGAAUAGCCAAAACAACUCUGAGAAGGAAUAACUUUGAAGGGCUUACACUCCAUGACUUCAAGAUUCACAAAGCAAACUACUUGGUAUUGCCAUAGAGAUGGAAAAAAUAGAUCAGUGGAAAAUAGUAGAGAGUCUAGAAGUAAACUCAACGUCUAUGGACAGCUGAUGUUUUUUCUUUUAAUCAAGGGCACAAUGACAAUAUGAUGGAGAAAGUAUAGCUCUUGCAAUAAGUGUGAUGGAACAAUUGGCUGUCCAUAUGCAAAAUAAUGGACUUAGAUCCAUACCUCACAUAAUACAUAAAAAUUAACUCCUAAUAGAUCAUAAGCUUAAAACAUAAGAGCUAAAACAGAAUAUCAGGAAGAAAACAGCAGAAUAUCUCUCCUGGUGUAUGCAGAGAUUUCUUAGACCCAUUGUCUCUAAAAGAACAAAAGAAUAAAUUUGGCUUCAUCAAAGUUUAAAACUUCAGUUCUUUAAAGACACUGUUAGGAGAAUGAAAACGAAUUGUAGAACACAAGAAAAUAUUUAGAAGACAUGUAUCUAAAAAAGACUGGCAUCCAAAACACUUAAAAAUUCUCAAAAUUAAGUAAUAAAAACAACCCAAUUUAGAAAUCAGGCUAUCUGAACUGAUACAUCACCAAAGAAGAUACACAGAAAAAGUUCUCAAUAUUGUUAGUAUUAGGGAGUUAAAGCCACAAUAAGAUACCAUUAUAUAUCUACUAGAAUGGCUAAAAUGAUAAAGACUGACUGCAAGUGUUGACAAGGACAUGGAGAAUUGGAUUUCACACACAAUGUAAAGUAAUACAACUGCUUUAGAGAACAGUUCAGCGUUUUCUUAAAAAGUUAAAUCUACACCUUCCAUUACUAAGUAGUGACAUAGUUUUUUUCCUCACUGCUUUGCAUAUUUUCAUUAUAGUAAUUACUAUUGUUUUAUGAUUGUUUUCAUAUCUGCCUUUUUCUGUUCUGUCCACAGACAAUCUUUGAAGGUGGGAAAUCUUUCAAUUUUACAUGUAGAAUUUCUUGCCCAGUGUCUUGUAAGCAUUUAAUAAAUAUUGGUUUAAGAAAUUACUAAGAGCAGAGUUAUCAUUGUGACUCAGCAGGUUAAGAACCUGACACUGUCUCUGUGAGGAUGUGGGUUCGAUCCCUGGUCUCACUCAACAGGUUAAGGAUCCAAUAGACGUUGCUGCAAGCUGUGGUGUAGGUCACGAUGUGACUUGGAUCCAGUGUUGCUGUGGGUGUGGUGUGGGCUUCAGCUGCAGCUCCGAUUGGAUCUCUAGCCUGGAAACUUCCAUAUGCCACAGGUUAUAGUGUAGCAUUUUAUUCUUUUAUUUUCACUGAAAAUUAAAUGAUUUCCCCAUGUUAUUGCAAACUUCUAAUUCAUAGAAUGGCUAUGUAAUAAUCAAUAAAUUAUAUUUUUUAGAAUAAAUAUUUCAUUUAUUUUUCCCCAUUGUGAAUAAUAUUAUUGCAGAUAUUUUCUUAUUAUAAAUAAUUUCGUUAGGACAGAUAACCAAGAGUGGUAUUACUAGAUGAGAGGGUAUGAAUAAUUCUUCCACAUUCUAAGGUAUAUUUAACUACAAGUGGAACAUGUAGUUCCUUAAAAAGAGUGAUUUGGUUAUGGAAAUUAUCUUAGCUAUAACUGGGUAAAUUUUAAAUUUAUCUUUAUUUUUUGUCCCAGUUUUAUUGAGAUAUAAUUGACAUACAGCACUGUAUAAGUUUAAAGUGUACAGCAUAAUGAUUUAACUUACAUCUUAAAGUGAUCGUAAGUUUAGUGAAAAAAAGUUUACUUUUAAAUCAGGAAAAUAAUCUUUUUUUUUUUUGUCUUUUUUUUUUUUUAUUGUUGUUGUUGUUGCUAUUUCUUGGGCCGCUCCCACGGCAUAUGGAGGUUCCCAGGCUAGGGGUUGAAUCGGAGCUGUAGCCACCGGCCUACGCCAGAGCCACAGCAACGCGGGAUCCGAGCCGCGUCUGCAACCUACACCACAGCUCACGGCGACGCCCGAUCGUUAACCCACUGAGCAAGGGCAGGGACGGAACCCGCAACCUCUUGGUUCCUAGUUGGAUUCGUUAACCACUGCGCCACGACGGGAACUCCAGGAAAAUAAUCUUUAAAAAAAUUAGGCCUAUUCUAUUUGGGUUUAAAAAACACACACAAAGUUGGUGAUUCUUUCCCUUUCAUGUGGCAUUUUUAAAAAAUGAUUUUAUAGUUGAAAAAUUAAUUUUUCUCAGAACAUGUUUCAUCUACUCUUAAUUCAUCCUGGCUAACUAUCAGAAACAUUUAUGUGAGUAUGUAAAUAUUUAGAGUACUCUCUCUUGUUCCAAAGAGAAUUUGAGAUAGUAUUAAACAAAUUUAUGGCAUGAAAUGCAUGGGAAAAUAGCAAAAUAAAAAAUGAUUUCUUUAAUUAAAAAUUUUUUUUUUUUUAGUGGCUGCACAUUUGGCUUAUGGACGUUCUGGGCCAGGGGUCGAAUCAGAGCUGCAGGUGCAGCCUAAGCCGCAGUGAUGGCAACACCUGCAUCUGUGACCUAUGACACAGCUUGUGGCAAUGCCCAAUCCUUAAUCUACUGAGUGAGCCAGGGAUAGAACCCGCAUCCUCACAGAGACAUUGAUGGGUCCUUAACUGUUGAGCCACAAAGGAACUCCAGAAAUGACUUCUUUGAGAACUGUAUAGAUAGCAAAAUGCAGGUUAUCAGGUGAAAGAAGGGUACCUAUAAGACUGUAGUAUGCUGCUAUAAUGCACUGUCGGUACUUGAUCAUUUUAGAGAUGUGGCUUCUGGAUUGGUCUUUUGAUUUAAGUAAAAGUGCUAGUAAGUAAAUGAUAAUAUAUGUUGCAUUAAAUGAAAGUUACUUUCUUGUCACCCCUAAGAACUUGGUGUGUAUCAAUCCAAAACUUAGGUGUAACUGAAUUAUAAGUAACACAUUCUGACUUAAGCAGUAAAGGAAUUUAUUGGAAGAAUAUCAAAACAAACAGUUCACAGAACUGAUGAGAUUAAAGAUCAAAUAAGGAAAUGGGCAGAGGAGUGGGUACAUGGAAUCAGAGCCAAGGAAAGUUCAGUCUAAGAUCUUAACUGGCUUUGCUGCCAUUAGAUACUGACAAUCCUAGACUCCCUCUUCUUUCUUCAGUGAUUUUUCCAGUUUCCCCUGUAUCUUUGCCACACUUUUUCAAGAAUCAAAGUUGGUGGGAGCAAAUGACUGGCCAAGAAGGUAGCCUUCCUGCCAAGGAGUAGAAGCAGAGGAUCUGGCCUUUUCUGCCAUGGAAGAUGGGAAUGUUGCCUCCCACCCACCUAGUCUGAUGAAGUAUCCCUCCAAACAACAAAGUUUGAAUUGUGGUUAGAUUUUUUUUUUUUAAAGAAGGAAUACAUAGAUCUCUUAUACCUGUACUAAUUCCUGAUGAUUAUAGGAUCAUUCUUGACUUUCCCAAUGGUUGAAAUAAUGUGUGCAGUACAAGUUCUUAAACUGUGGCCCGUGCGAGAUUGGAGAGGGCUGGAGUGGGCCAUGUGUUCCCUGAAAUUGUAUGUGAUUUUGGAAUCUGACUUUUUCAUCUUGGGGGGGAAUCUCCAAGAGGCCCAUGAUAUAUAAAAAGUUAAGAAAUACUACCUGGAGUUCCUGUUGAGGGGCAUCGGAAACGAAUCUGACUAGGAACCAUGAGCUUGUGGGUUCAAUCCCUGGCCCUGAUCAGUGGUUUAAGGAUCUAGUGUUGCUAUGGCUGUGAUGUAGGCCAGCAGCUAUACCUCUGAUCAGACCCCAAGCCUGGGAACCUCCAUGUGCUGCAGAUGCGGCCCUAAAAA
rnacentral:lncRNA from 1 species